UCCAGUAUCACAAGAAAACACCAAUACCCAUCAUGCACCGUGUGUCUUCGCUCUCUCUUAGUUAGUAUCAGGCUCAAGUCCUCCUCCAGCCCACCUAAGAAACAGCCUUUAAAUUUCUGUCAAGAUUCACUUUAUUGUCUCACAUUGUAGGAAAUUUGGAUCAGACUUCCACCCAUGCUGCAUCCAUAAAAACCAUUCCACAUACAUAAAAGACAGAGUAAGACAGCUACAGGGAACAAGAAACACAUCUAAGAACAUAAUAAUAAAACAUACAGUUAAAAAGACAGAAAAAACAUGCACUGAUGUUAGAUAGAUAAAAACCUAUAGUACAGAAAAAAAAGUACAGAAAGGUGCAAAAACUGGAAAAUAGUCAAUCAUCAACAGAUAAGUAACAAUAAAGCUCUGUUGGUUUUUAUAUCAGUUUCAUCUUUAUUUCAUUUGUUACCAUUUCAUUUUUUAUUUUUUUUUAUUGAAGUAGGGAUAAAAGAGUUUUUUUAAUCUAUUCAUAAACCUCUUCCCUGAUGGCAGUAGCUGGUACUCAGUGUUUAACACAUGGGCUAGGUCAGUUAUUAUCUUGUUGGCGUGCCUCAGAACAGCCUGCAGGGAUGGAUGCUGUCUUACACCUAUUAUCUUCCAUGCAGUCUGCGUGAGUCGGACUAGUUUGGACUUCAAUUGCACACAGAGGUUACCAAACCAAGCUGCGAUGCCGUAUCUAAUUAAUGGAUCUACAGCACAAUGGAUACAGCUAUCAUCAGAGGCAGCCGUCUCCUGCUUGCCUGCUUGCCUGCUUGCCUGCCUGCCUGCCUGCCGGCCUGCCUGCCUGGCGGCCUGCUUGCUCUCGCUCACUUUCUCUUGAUGCCCUAAAAUCACCGUGUCCCUGUGAGGCCAGGGUAAAGAGGCCAAAGGAUGUAUGGACAAACCUGUGGUGAGAGGCUGUUGCUGAUGGCGGGGUUGACAGAGUUGGCGUGUCCUGUCGGGG